UACGUAGGGGGGCAAGCGUUGUCCGGAAUCAUUGGGCGUAAAGAGCGCGUAGGCGGCCCAGUAAGUCCGCUCUGAAAGUCAGGGGCUCAACCCCUGAAUGCGGGUGGAUACUGCUGGGCUAGAGUCCGGAAGAGGCGAGUGGAAUUCCUGGUGUAGCGGGUGAAAUGCGCAGAUAUCAGGAAGAACACCCGUGGCUAAGGCGGCUCUCUAGUACGGUACUGACGCUGAGACGCGAAAGCGUGGGGAGCGAACAGG
rnacentral:rRNA from 1 species